UACGUAGGGGGCAAGCGUUGUCCGGAUUUAUUGGGCGUAAAGAGCGUGUAGGCGGCCAUGCAGGUCAGCUGUGAAAACUCGAGGCUCAACCUCGAGACGUCGGUUGAAACCGUAUGGCUAGAGUCCGGAAGAGGAGAGUGGAAUUCCCGGUGUAGCGGUGAAAUGCGCAGAUAUCGGGAAGAACACCCAUGGCGAAGGCAGCUCUCUGGGACGGUACUGACGCUGAGGCGCGAAAGCGUGGGGAGCAAACAGG
rnacentral:rRNA from 1 species